UGUCAUGAGAGUGAGGAAGGCCACAGAGGGGACUGACCGAUGCUGGCAACCGUGUGUGUUAUCAUAACCUUUUUGCAAUGUUAUUCUUCGUCUGGACACCUGGUUCCAUCUCAGAUGCUAUCCAGAUGAUUCGUAAUCUAAUGUCGGCUUCAACACACAUUUAAAGUGGGAGAAAAAGCAACUGAAUCAAAAGCCCAAGUUCUUCCAAGAAGUCCCAGAGAGUGGUCUUUACUCCUUCCCAUCACUCCCCAACAUCACCUAAAUCCAGGAGAAACUGAGAUGCCCCAGAAGCUCACCUCGGCAAGUGCCAUCAUGAAUAAUGCCAACACCAAGAAUCUGAGUGGACGUCAUGUUUCAGACCUCCAACCAUCUAUGCUGUCACAGUCAUGACGAACAGAAGGCACUGAGACUCCCAGAACCAACUAUCAACCAUCAUCUUCGUUGCGUUUGUGACAGCUGCUCUGAGGUCCUUGUAAAUUUGCCCCUUUGACUUCAUUCUGAUUCUGUGUCCAGAGUUUAAUGGGGGGUGGGGGGGAAUUUCUCUCAAGCCUCAAACCCUAUGUUCAUCAGUGAAAGGGAUUCCAGGGGCAAACUAUCUGAGAUAGCUUCCAAUAUUUUCCAUUCUUACUCUUAAUCCAAGAAGAGGUUUUAUCUGAGCAUGAUAGAAAGGAUUUGGGGCACCUGGGUGGCUUAGUCGGUUAGGUGUCCGGCUUCAGCUCAGGUCAUGAUCUUGCGGUCCGUGAGU